CAUAGCUUCUACUGUCCUGGACCUUUUCCCAAGAUUUCUGGAUACACCUGGCUUGAUUGACCAAGACUUCACAAUGCUGUUUUUUGGGGAGGAAGUGUCUGGUAAGUUCCUUGCAAAGUGGCCAACAUUCUUCAAGCCAAGGAUCAUCAAAGAUUGCAAAAAUCUGUCCCAGAGUACAGAAUUGGAUGAGCUGCUCAUUUCUGCACAGCGUUACUCUAACGAGGCUGUUUGGGACUGCGAGGCGGCUGCCAUCUUUUGCUGCUUCACUUCACUCCAACAUCUAAGGGAAGGACGUCUUCAAAGAUUAGCACAUCAGAUGCUGCUCACCACCUAAUGAAAUUCAUCAAGGUGGGAGGUAGCACAGAGGCUUUUCUUAAGGCUGGCCCCACUCAGCCAUUCGUCCUGUGGGUUGGAGAAAGAAAGAACAUC